GGGCCCGCGCCCGCCGGAGACACCACGAACUCUGUCUGAUCUAGUGAAGUCUGAGUUGAUUGUAUCGCAAUCAGUUAAAACUUUCAACAAUGGAUCUCUUGGUUCCGGCAUCGAUGAAGAACGCAGCGAAAUGCGAUAACUAGUGUGAAUUGCAGAAUUCCGUGAAUCAUCGAGUCUUUGAACGCACAUUGCGCCCCCUGGUAUUCCGGGGGGCAUGCCUGUCCGAGCGUCAUUGCUGCCCAUCAAGCACGGCUUGUGUGUUGGGUCGUCGUCCCCUCUUCGGGGGGGACGGGCCCCAAAGGCAGCGGCGGCACCGCGUCCGAUCCUCGAGCGUAUGGGGCUUUGUCACCCGCUCUGUAGGCCCGGCCGGCGCUUGCCGAACGCAAAACAACCAUUCUUCCA
rnacentral:rRNA from 1 species